rnacentral:rRNA from 1 species
GGAUGGCGCUGUAGCGUCGUGCCUAUACUCGGCCGUCAACGGCACAGUGGGCGGCCCCCUCGCGGGGGUCGGGCCGUUAAGCCUUGACGAGUAUGAGGGUCGCGGCGGUGUGCACUGAAGGGUCACGGCGUGAGCCGGCCUGGAGCCGCCGUCGGCGCAGAUCUUGGUGGUAGUAGCAAAUACUCCAGCGAGGACCUGGAGGACUGACGUGGAGAAGGGUUUCUUGUGAACAGCUGUUGCACAAGAGUCAGUCGACCCUAAGCCCUAGGAUAAAUCCCAUGCGGAUGGGGCGAAAGGGAAUCCGGUUCCUAUUCCGGAACCCGGUAGCGGAACCGUUCCAAUACGGGCCCUCGUGAGUGCUCGACGGGGUAACCCAAAAAGACCCGGAGACGCCGUCGGGAGAUCCGGAGAGAGUUUUCUUUUCUCUAUAAGCGUUCGAGUUCCAUGGAAUCCUCUAGCAGGGAGAUAUGGUUUGGAACGCGAAGAGCACCGCAGUUGCGGCGGUGUCCGGAUCUUCCCCUCGGACCUUGAAAAUCCGGGAGAGGGCCACGUGGAAUGCUCGCACCGGAUCGUACCCAUAUCCGCAGCAGGUGUCCAAGG